UAGGGAAUCUUCCGCAAGGGGCGAAAGCCUGACGGAGCAACGCCGCGUGAGUGAUGAAGGUCUUCGGUUCGUAAAACUCUGUUAUUAGGGAAGAACAAAUGUGUAAGUAACUAUGCACGUCUUGACGGUACCUAAUCAGAAAGCCACGGCUAACUACGUGCCAGCAGCCGCGGUAAUACGUAGGUGGCAAGCGUUAUCCGGAAUUAUUGGGCGUAAAGCGCGCGUAGGCGGUUUUUUAAGUCUGAUGUGAAAGCCCACGGCUCAACCGUGGAGGGUCAUUGGAAACUGGAAAACUUGAGUGCAGAAGAGGAAAGUGGAAUUCCAUGUGUAGCGGUGAAAUGCGCAGAGAUAUGGAGGAACACCAGUGGCGAAGGCGACUUUCUGGUCUGUACCUGACGCUGAUGUGCGAAAGCGUGGGGAUCAAACAGG
rnacentral:rRNA from 1 species